CUACGUGCCAGCAGCCGCGGUAAUACRUAGGGCGCGAGCGUUGUCCGGAAUUAUUGGGCGUAAAGAGCUUGUAGGCGGUUUGUCGCGUCUGCUGUGAAAGGCCGGGGCUUAACCCCGUGUAUUGCAGUGGGUACGGGCAGACUAGAGUGCAGUAGGGGAGACUGGAAUUCCUGGUGUAGCGGUGGAAUGCGCAGAUAUCAGGAGGAACACCGAUGGCGAAGGCAGGUCUCUGGGCUGUAACUGACGCUGAGAAGCGAAAGCAUGGGGAGCGAACAGGAUUAGAUACCCUGGUAGUCCAUGCCGUAAACGUUGGGCACUAGGUGUGGGGGACAUUCCACGUUUUCCGCGCCGUAGCUAACGCAUUAAGUGCCCCGCCUGGGGAGUACGGCCGCAAGGCUAAAACUCAAAGAAAUUGACGGGGGCCCGCACAAGCGGCGGAGCAUGCGGAUUAAUUCGAUGCAACGCGAAGAACCUUACCAAGGCUUG
rnacentral:rRNA from 1 species